rnacentral:rRNA from 1 species
GACGAACGCUGGCGGCGUGCUUAACACAUGCAAGUCGAACGGAAAGGCCCUGCUUUUGUGGGGUGCUCGAGUGGCGAACGGGUGAGUAACACGUGAGUAACCUGCCCUUGACUUUGGGAUAACUUCAGGAAACUGGGGCUAAUACCGGAUAGGAGCUCCUGCUGCAUGGUGGGGGUUGGAAAGUUUCGGCGGUUGGGGAUGGACUCGCGGCUUAUCAGCUUGUUGGUGGGGUAGUGGCUUACAAAGGCUUUGACGGGUAGCCGGCCUGAGAGGGUGACCGGCCACAAUGGGACUGAGAGACGGCCCAGACGCCUACGGGAGGCAGAAGUGGGGAAUAUUGCACAAUGGGCGGAAGCCUGAUGCAGCAACGCCGCGUGCGGGAUGACGGCCUUCGGGUUGUAAACCGCUUUCGCCUGUGACGAAGCGUGAGUGACGGUAAUGGGUAAAGAAGCACCGGCUAACUACGUG